rnacentral:piRNA from 1 species
UGCAGUUUCACUCCUGAAAUCAGUGU